UCCCGGGUGACGCAAUUGGUUAGCGUGUCAGACUUUUACAACUACUCUCGUAGAUAAGUAAAUCUGAAAGUUACGGGUUCAAGUCCCGUCUCGGGAG
rfam:Fusarium poae strain 2516 chromosome FPOA_2 Chr2, whole genome shotgun sequence.